UUUUUUUUUUUUUUUUUUUUAAAUUUAACUGAAAAAUUUUUAUAAAUAUUUAUUUUUUUAUUUUUUUCUUUUGAUUUUUAAAAAUUUAUAUUGGCUCUCUUACAAUUUCAAAAAAUUUAUAUUACCGACCGUCCCUAGAGCAAGUGGCAAAGGGUUUGAUGGUUGGUACCCGAAACCCAAGUUCGAAUCUUAAUCGAUUCACAUUUCCAGCUAAGUUUAUUUCUAAAUGAAAUAAACGAAGCGGAUAACGUGCUACAUAUCUCUCAAAAAAAAGAAUUACGUUAUCAAUGGAGAUUACGAAAUUACCAAAUUAUCUUUAUUUCUUUUAUAAAAAAAAUUUCUUAAUAUAUUUUAUUAUUUUUAAAAAUACUUUCAGUAUAAAUUAUAAAAAAAAAUAGAUAAAAUAGUAAUAAAAUCCUGACGGACGGAAAAUAAGGGAGGUAAAAUAUAGAUUUCUUAAAGUGAGAUGCUCAUUUAUGACGCCUAAUUAAUAGUUAUUACUAGUUAUAAGGAAUAGGAUGGUACAUCUUAUGCCCUGUGAUUUUAAAUUUAAUAAUAUUUUUUGGGUUUUUAGUAUAAAAAAUUAUAAAGUAAUGAACUAAAUCUUAAUAUUUUAAAGACUAGAGUGCAAAAUUUAUAUCCAUAUUGUCGGCAUAGAUAGCAUUGCUCCUAAAAAAUUACUCUUUUCUCUGUAAUUAAAAUUUAACAAAUUUUAAUAAAUUUAUUAUCAUAUUUUAUUUUUCUAAAAUAUGUUUUCUGUAAUUAGAUUUGGUGGAUGGACUUUUAUAUUUUAUUAUGAUUAGUUUACUUGUAAUAUUUUCUGAUUAAAAAUAUAAUAAUUUAUUAGAAAAUAAAAAAAAUGUAAAAAACAAAAGAAAGAAAGAAAUCUUAGAAGUCCAUUUAAUUACUAUUGAGGUGGGUACAAAAUGAAAACGAGUAUGAAUAUAUUUAACACGUUAAAUGAUAAGAGUAGUCAAAAUUUGGGUUUAAGCAUUAGCCCAACGAGAAACUGUUAUUUAAUUAAACCCCCUCAACUUCAUGCCAUUUUGAUCAUAAAUUUGUCAACUAUAUAUAGUUUUUGUGUAUAAAUUUUUUAAGUAUUUUGAAUUCGGUUCUCUUUUAGUUACUUAAAAAAUUUUGUUAAAUAGUUCUGUUAGAUUAUUCUAAUUUUAUUUGCUAAAUGGUGAUUAAAACUACCAAGUUUGACGAGGUCAUUUAUGAAUUUAAUGAAAUCUCCAAUUUACUUCACUAAAAAUCACUCAAAUUAAAAAAAAAAAACAAUCAAAUGAUAAGCAAUUGAAAAAAAAAUAGAUCAUUGAAGGGUCAUUUCAGAAAUGAAACCACAAAAUACGUCUUCUUCUUGUCCUAUUUCACUUAUAUAUUAAAAAAAUUGAUAUUGCCAAAAUAAUUUCUUUUUUUUUUUCCAGAGCAAACAUGUUGAAAUUAUGAUUUUAUAUUGAGCAAUGCUCUCAUAAUAUUAAUUUCCAAAUCUUUUCAUCUUUUCACUAAAUUCAAUUGUUAGAUCUAUUUCAUUUUCAUCCUAUUUGAAAUCUUACAUUGUACUUGGAGAAUCUCUUUUUUUUUAAUUGCUUUUAAUAUAAUUAAAUUUCCCAAUCUCUUAUAUCAUAAAUGGGAGAAUCUUAAUAUUUUUUUUUCCAUAUCAUGAACAAAAUUGAUUAUUACUGCUCAUUAAAGCUUUUUGAGUACACAUUUAAUGCAAAUCAGCAGGACUAAAUUUGGAAAUCCAUAAAUAGGAAGAUUUUUCUGUUUUGGUAAAAAUGUAGGGAUCCACUUCAAUUUUUUAAUUCUCUAAAUUCCAUUUUUUCCUGAAUUGAAUUUUUUUAGUUAAAUAACUAAAAAAAAUUGUUAGUUUUUAUGACUCAUCUAGCUAUUAGUAGUUAGUUAAUUUACUUUUAUUACUAUGCUAUAAAGUAGUUUAAACUAUUUAAUUAUUAAAUUAUAAAUCAAUUUAGCAAAAUUUUUAAUUUAUUUGAUUAAAAUCACUUAAUUUUUUUUUAAAAAACUUAAAUUAAGAAGGUUACAAUAAAAACAAUUAUAAUUGAGGGGUUAUCUCCAUGCAUUUUUUUUUUAUUUUUUUUAUUUUUUUUUCAUGUACAUUUGAAAAAUUAUUAAAUAAAGACGCAAAAAAAUAAGAAACAGAAUAGCAUUAAGACUUCGUUUGAAACUGCAAGGAGAUUGCUUUACGUGUGAUGAGAAAGUACGAUAAAAAAAUAUCAUAUUUGUUUCCGUAUGUAAUAUUGUGUUCUGCAUAUUCUGUGGUCCCAUCCGAGAACGCAGAAGUAUAUUUCUAUAUGUUUUCAUCUUAAUUUUAUUUUAUCUAAUAACGCUAAAUAUAUCUCAAUACCAAACUAAGCCUAAAAGAAAAAAAAAGUUAUCCAUAAAAAACAAAAAAAAGUUGAAACCGCGUUGAAAUUAAGGGGUCCAAAUCCAGACCCUCUCUCUCUCACUCGCUCUCUCGUCCACUUCUCUUUCGCACUCCCACCAAUUAAACUACAACCACUAUUUAUUCUCCUUUUCUGUUUUGGAAAAGGAAUACCUUCUAUAUGUACACACACACACACACACACACACACGCGCAGACAUAUAUAUAUAUAUAUAUAUAUAUAUAUAUAUAUAUAUAUAUAUAUAUAUAUCUUAUAGGAAGCUAUAUCAUGUUAAGCAUAGUCAAUUUGCAUGACUAAAUUCAGUUGUUAAAAAAAUAAAAUAAUAGCUAGAAGUAUAUGAAAUAUAUAAAUAAUAACUUAACGUAUCUAGCUUAAGAAAAUUUUGGUUGGCGUCUCAGGCUCCAAUCUCCGCAUCAUACUUUUUAAUCUACGAAAGAAAUUUUGCCCACAACAGUAUCUACUCAAAAAAAUGAUCAUAAUAUGAAAAUAAAACAAAAAAAUCAAUCUUAAAAAAAUUAAUAUUUUUUUGGAGCACUUCUCUUACUCAUUCAAAUCUUAUACAUCUUCUUAAUCUUCAGCUGGUAGUUGCUCCGCGCGUCGAGUCAUUUCUGGAUUUCUAUUGUAACCUAUGAACAAACACCUCAUCUGUAUCACCAAACUGCGAUAUCUAAACCGAUACAGCCUUACCAUCACAUCAACUACAGAAAUCCUUAUUCAUAAACAAUUUGAUUUACCAAGAAGUUCCUGCGAUUCUUGAGAAGUGAGCUUCCGCGCAACGUCGCCGCGAAGAGGAGGCUAGGACGGCGCUCCCUUCGGCCUAGUUGCGGGCACGUGCGAGCCGUGCGAGGAGGCAGCCGAGGCGGCGGCGGUUCACGGCAAGCGACGGCUCCGGUGCAGACCAGCCCAGCGAGCACUUAUAUGGGCCGCGGCUGGACUUUACAGGACGAUAUUUUUUGAAUGAGACAACGUUCUUCACAUAUUCUUCUUCUUUAUCAUCCUCAUAAUCUUUGUUAACACAAUGAGAUAGAGAGAAGGAGAUGAGUAUGGGGUGAGAGAUUAGAUGAUAAUGUUUCUUUUUGCAUGAAAAAUAAUAUGUCAUGCAAGAAAGAGGGGGUGAGAGGAUUAAUAGUGGAGGGAAGUAGAUUGGUGUUACAAAGCUCAUUAAUUAAUAAAAUAUAAUGCAUGUAAUUAAAUGUGGAGAGGUGAAGGGUUGAGCAUUUAGAAGUGGAGAUUAAUGGUGGAGGGGAGUGGAUUGGAAUUACAAAGCUCAUUAAUUGAUAGAAUAUGAUGCAUGCAAUUAAAUGUGGAGAGAUGAAGGGUUUAGCAUAGCAUUUAGAAAUGAGGAUUAAUAGUGGAAGGGAGUGGAUUGGAGUUACAAAGCUGACUAAUUGAUGAAAUAUAAUGCAUGUAAUUAAAUAUGGAGAGGUGAAGGGUUACGUAUUUAGAAGUGGAGAAAAAACGUAAAUUUUAUAUUGGAGAUUCAUAUAAGAAAUAAAUAUUAUUUAUUAACCUAAGAAUGAAGGAUUUCUUGUCACGUGGCAAGAAACAUUAUGGAUUCAUUAUGUUUAAUAUAUAUAUAUAUAUAUAUAUAUAUAUAUAUAUAUAUAUGCACACAACACUGUAGUGUCACACAAUCCAUGUGCAUGCCUUUUGACUCCAAUGUACAUGUUUAGAGCAAUGCUAUAUAUGCACCUCUAUUAGUAGGAUAUAAUUUUCAUGCUUUACACAUGAGAAGAUUAAUAUAUUUUAAUUAGUCUUAUCAACUUUUUUUUAAAUACUAAAAGUUUAAAAAAAGAUUUUACAUUUGUGGAUGAGCAAAGUGACCGCAUUUUUUGCGUUUACCUGGUUUGUAGUUUUUCACCAUUUUUCUUCAUUAAUAGAAGUUGAUAAUUGUGGUUUUAAGGUCAAAUUAGGUAGGAGAAUAUAAGGGAAGGUAGAGAGUAAAUUCUGAAUAUUUUAUUUGACAUAUUUUUUAUUUAUUUAAAAAGUAUAUAGUAUUUAGAAGAUGAAGAGUGUGAUUAAAUGUUUAUAAUGAAAAUUAUGAUCCACUUUAAAUUAUUUUUUUCGAAAUAAAAAAUUUAUUUUAUAAGUAAAAUAUAUUAUUAUAUCAAAUCAUAAAUGUCAGAAACUUUAAAUGAAUAUAUAAAAAUCAAACUUUACCUCCCAAUCACACACAAAAAAAACCCUUCAAACUGGACAUAUUAUCAUCAAAUAUUUUUUUAUUACAAUAUCCAAAAAGACCAAGGUAUCAAAUUUGGAGCUCUCCCUAUCACAAUCCUUUUGUAACUUAAGUUAUGUGAAAGACCUUCAAAGUUAGAGCAAUAUUAGGAGGUGAUAUUUUAAGUUAUGGACUUAUUAAAUGUGGCUAGUAUUCACUGAAUUCAAUUAUACUAAGCAAACUUUGAUCGAUUUCAAUUAAAAUUGAAUCUAAUUAUACGAAGCUAGAAUAUUAUCUUUGUAAAAGCCAAAUAUAUACGAAUUUUUAGUUAAUAAGUUUAUCGUUAUUUAGGAUUUUUCUAUCAACUAAAUUAUAUAAAUAAAAGGGGGCAAGUUUUCUAAACCUCCACAAACAGAAUUUUUCUAUGCACAGAAACAUCUCGCCGCACAUCCAACGAAACGAAUUCUGCAGCUAAGAUAACUCUAUAUGCUGAAAAGAAUGCAUGUAAUCUGCCUCCAAAUAUGAUGCUAUCAGAACACCAAUUAAGAGACAGACAAUCGAAUCAAAUCACAUUAAAUUCUUGACCGUUAUAAUUUUAUUAGUGGAUCAUUAAUUGCGGAUAAAGUACACCAUUUAGGAAUUUUUAUUUUUUUUAAAAAUUUUCUUUUUAGGGUCCUUAUUUGACAACCAACCCCCAUUCUUGCCUUGUUUAGUACUUGCAUUUAUUUCUUUGUCUACUGCACUCACAGUAUGCAUGUUUGAGUGUCUGGGACUCCACAGAGCUGCUUCAGUUGAUCGAUCCAUAGUACUUAAUAAAUGUAACUUUUUCGAGUCCUAACUAUGGUGCCCUUCCCGUCUCACCUUAGAUCUAUUUUUUAUUAGAUUGAUUUUUCUUAAUAUAUAAUUAUUUAUUAAAAAAUUAGAAAAGAAAUUCUUACAAUAUAUGCAUGGAGCUGCAAGCUUUUUGGCUCAAGUUAUUGCUAUGAUUUGACUUCCUAAAGCAUGCUAUGUUCUGCAGCUUUGCUCGGAUAGGAUUUGGAUGGACAAAAUUUGAUCGAUUUCGGGCUCAGAAAGAAGAAAAUUCGAGUAUCUGAGAUUUCAAUUUGAAUCUUUAGAUGACAGAAACUUCAGAAAGGUGUGCUACUGAAGCUAUUGGAUUUAUUUCUAAAAACUGCUGCUACUCUUGGCUAGAAGUAAAAAAAUUAAGACUAAUCUACCUUUGGUAUGAAUAGAAAAAAAAAAAAAAAAAUUUGAGAAAAAGGUAGCACGCUAUCUACUUUAUUUAUUUAGAAGGUGAAUUAAACUAUAUUAGUGAGGCAUCAUAUAUAGGCCUCGAGGAUGGCGAAAAUGAAACGACAAAAAAACAAAAAAAAAAAAAACGCUAACGAUUACAGUGGUGCCUCUUUACUGAGAGAAGUUGCUUCUAUCGGUUCGUCAGUUAUUUAAUCUUGUAGAUUCCAAGGAUUGAGUCUAAUAGAAAACUUGUUUUUACUCUAAAAUCGCCUCAAGGAGUUAAUAUUGUGGGGAAAAAAGGUCCUUUUUUUGUCACUUGUACAGCUUUUAUAGCUAACUCUCCCACAAUCUAACCGUUGUAAGUUUGUUAGUUUUUCCUGUCUUUUUUCCAUAUAUAUAUAUAUUACAAAUAAACUCAGCUGAAAAUACGAAGCAAUUAGACUUCAAAUUUGAAGCUCCGGGUAUUAAUCAUCAAGCCUUUUUGCCACUUGCAUUAGGAACGACCCGUCGCAUCAUACAAAUUAGCAUGAAUAUUAUAUAUAUUUCUUUUUUUUGAGAACUAAGUAGCACGCUAUUCGUUUCGUUUAUUUCAUUUAAGAAAUAAACUUAGCUGAAAAUGUAAAUUAAUUAGGAUUCGAACUUGGGACCUCGGGUACCAACUACCAAGCCCUUUGCCACUUGCUUUAGGGAUGGUCGGCAAUAUUAUAUAUAUUUCUAGAUCUAUUUUCUAUCGAAUUUAUAUUGUGUGCCGCAGCGCCCAAUUUGGAGUCUUGAGAACUGCAAUGGCGCUGGUUCCUAUUUAUCUUUCCUAAAAAAAGUUGAAUUGGUGGUCUAAUUCUUUAUUGCUAGAUCAAUGCACAACCAUUUACGCAAUGUAUUCUGAGGUGAUCACAUGAAUAUGCUAAUUCUCUAACUAUUAAUGGAGUGGACAUGGGAGCUUAAUUAGCAGAGUUCAAAAUAAGACCAUGGUUAGUACCAUGAAACAGAGGCUACUAUAAAUUAAUUAAGCUCAUUAGUGUAGGCAUUUGCAUAUAGAUUAUUCAUUGUAAAAUGGGAAAGAGUUGUUGAGAGGUCUAAAAGGAUAAAUUUGCUGUUGUUUGUCUCUUUCUUCAAUGUGCCUUAUACAAGUGGUUGAUUUUCUAAUAAGGCAGUCAAAAUGUUCUCUGAUUUGUAAUGUGUGUUUCAGAUAGUUCUUGUGCAUGUGCAUGUGUUAGAGAGAGAGAGAGAGAAAAUACCUUUUAGAUUAUCUAGAAAUUACUUGAUGCAUCCUAUGCCACAGUACAAUUUUAACAAGUUUAGUGUGACCGACCAUCCUUAGCGUAGGUGUCAAAGUGUUUAAUAGUUGGUACUCGAAAUUUCAAGUUCAAACUCUAAUUACUUUAUAUUUUCAGUUAAGUUUAUUAAUAAAAAUGAAUAAAUAAACGAAAUGGAUAGUAUACUAUUUUUUUCUCAAAAACAAGUUUAGUGUGCGACAGAGAUUUGACCAAGUUCUUACAUAAAGAAAAUUAAGCAAGCAGCGGUUGUUUUAUAUAAGUGCGACUGUCAAUUGAUUAAGAUUAGCUCAUUAAAGCUAGUUUUAAAUUGGAUUAUUUAUUAAUUGGUUCCCACGCGUUCGACUCAAAAUGUCAGUUAUGAACUGUAAUACAGGGGAAAAAAAAAAAGUUUAAGAGAAAGAAUAAAAUAAAAAGAGCAAGUUCUAGCUAAACUUAAAAUUCUGGUCAUUACAUUUUCCAAUCUACAUUAUUUGUGUAUAUCUAAUGCCGAGUCUAGUCUAAAGCUCGAAGUGUUAGAUGCGACUCGAAAUUGAUUAUCGACUCAAAUUCGGGUUUUCGACUCGCCGACAGCUUCGCGGUACGACCAAAUUGGAAAACAAUUUUGUGAAGGAAAAAUGAAUGUAUGUGGUUGGUAGUGGAGGGCUCGGAUCUAAAUAUUAAUUUGAUUAGGAAGUAUUUAAUAACUAGAACAACCAAAAUAGUACUGUAAUUACAGCGGUGUGAGGGGCGGAGCCCCCCGCGGUACUGAUCAGAUCCGAAAUCUGUUAUGAAUUUUCUUCUCGUUUUUGGCCCUAGAUGCGUGAGAUCGUGGUCGGUUGUAAUCUGAAGAACAUUGUAUUCCCUUUCGUUUCGAUAGUGAAGUUCUCUCCUCUCUCGCUCGUGAUUUUUUCUAGCAAAAAAUUUUUCACGUAAAUCUGUGUGUUAUCUUUAUUUUUUUCUUGUGGUUUGAGUGUUUCGUAUUCGUCAUUUUGUUUCCGUUUGUGCGUUUGUCGUAACACGAAGGGAUAAAUCAAUAUAUUAAAACUUAUUAAUAACAGGGCAGUUCUACUGAAUCUGCAUAAUUUUACAGGAAAGAUCCGAGUAAAUUGAAUUACUGGACGUUAAUACAUAUCGUCGCCUUUUACAUUACUUUUUCAUAAACCUUUUUCACUACUUCAAAAUGCGUAUAGGACAGUACUAUAAAUUUCACUUGAUAGUUUGGUAUAUGAUGCAGAAUAGUCUCAUUCAAUCACUCAAUCAUUCAAGCUGUAGAACACAAAACAACAAAGAGAACACUGUGUGAGGUGAGGAUGAAUACAUGUUAUAGAGCACCAUACAUUUGCAUGCUAAAAGGGCUAAUAAUGUAGCACUCCACUAUAGAUCCAAGAGAGAACACUCUGCAUGAAGGGAUUCAAAUUGGUUAGGUUUCCAUGAACUUUUUCUCAAUCUGCCAGAAGGGAUAGGUUUUUGUGGGUGCAGCUGAUCAGGAAGAAGGUCAAUCAGCCUCUUAUCUUUACCCAACAUAUGUACAGAAUGGAGGAUCAGAUUUGCCAUGAACAGCUCACAAGUGCUACAACAUGAUGUGGACAUGAAAAAUGUGAGACAAGUUUCUGUACUAUUCAUGUGCAACUGCUCCCCACUGUGAAGGAAAUGUUUUGUGAAACAACCAUUACGUAGGCUCGAACGAUGAAUCCAAAAUGUAAAUUUCAAUUAAAUAAGAAAAUUUUAAAUAAGACCGGAGACCUUAUGAAACUUCAAUGCAAAACUUCUUGUUCUGAUACCGUCUAAUGAAAUGUGGAACAUCCGUUACUCUCUAUAAACUUAAGCUGUUAUAGGAUGGUGUUUUUUUAAUAUUUAUAAUUAACAUCUAUAAUGUUCAUGGGCCACAUAUCACACCAAACUACCCAAUUCGAUAUUCUACAAUCAAGCAUUAAAAAAAUUACAUAUUAAUACAAAUUGUGAGAGUUUAACUCAAGUGAAAGUCUCUCUAACAAAAUAAAAAAUCAAUCUCAUUUAUUCGUUAAAUAUCUCAUUUACGUGCAUUGUAAUUCGAGUUACUAUUACUUCUAUUAAAGGGAAGAUGAAUGGUUGAGGUUGAGUGCGACGAAUUAAACUUUGCUUUGAUAAUGCGUCCUUAAGCUAGCUCGGCUCAAAUCUUCUAUCAUCCUUUUGUUAAGACUCUGUUUCAACGCUAGAAUAAGUAUUAUAAAGUAUGAUUUUAAUUUUUGCUUCUUAAAAGAAGUUUAAUCAUCUAUGAUUUAGUAGAAUAACAUAUUUAACUUAUAAAGUGAUAUAUCUUAUUCUGAGAAAAUGACUUAAAGACCGAACAUGGUUAUGUCAAUCUAGAUGCUUAAUCACAUUCUGAUUCAUCUCUCAAAUACUACAAAGUCUUAGAGUAACUUAAAAAGAUGUACUGAAAAUCAUGUUCUUGCAUCUAUACAGAACCUUAAAGUUACUAUAUCUCUUUGUUUGAGCUAUUCAAUUUAUAUGUGUGUGUGUGUGUGUGUGUGUGUGUGUGUGAGAGAGAGAGAGAGAGAGAGAGAGAGAGAGAGAGUCAUGAUCAUAAGAAAGAACUCAAGGGUCUUGUGAGGUGCCUUUCUUUAGGUACAUGCAGAAAGAAGGCAAAGAUGCCUUCCAAUUUGCAGGAGAAUGUUUGGGAGGGGGAUUCCUUUUAAUUUCAUCUGUCCUCAUGUUGACACAUGUGAGCCUUGUUUGUUUCUUCCCUUGUGAACCUUCUUGUCCACUAGAAAUAGCUUUAGUGGGACUCUCACUUUCCCACUGAUCAAUUAUAUGCAGGCCUCCUUGGGGUGCUUUUUAGCUGGUACCCAAAUUUGUUUCCUGUUUUCUACCUUCACAUUAUUGAUCAUCUGAAAUGUGACUGAUACACUGUUAUGCUUAUGUUCAGAAUAUUACACAGAAACAGCAGACUGUGGAUACAAUGGCAAUCAGCUGGGAACUUAUCUAGCCUAGUCCUGCAGUCACAAAUCGGAGUUCAGUCAGAAAUUUGGAGUGCCAAGUAGUAGAAGUCAACUACUUGCAACUUGGGAGUUCCGCCCGAUUUCCGCUUUGGGCAUGCACUUUGCCGCAAUAAACAUGUUCAACCGGGUUUAUUAAGAGCUGAAACAUUAGUCUUUUCAUUCAUAUUGAAGACAUUGAGAAUAUUCGACAAAUAACCAUGGGCAUAAAUCCUCGAAAAAAAUAUACAUAGAUUUUUUUUAUUGCAUCCUUCGAAGUGAAUCGCCCCAGUAUUAUGCUAGUUACUAAAGAGAUCCGUCCAAAUGCCUCCUAAGUUGAUAGCUAAAUCUCGGAAUUUUUGUAUAUCUAUCUCCGAAUGCUACUUCUCGGAUAUCAAGGGUCACUGAGAGUCUAAUGAGAUUUUAACUACGUUUUUUAGCUCUAAUAUAUCAUGUGAAAUAGCCGAUUACUUAGAAAGUUUAAACUGUCAGAGAAUAACAUUUUAAUAAUAUGUAUAUGCAGUACAAUGACAGUACAUCAUUUGCGCAUUCGAAUGGACGUAUACGUGUGCCUAAUCGACUAAUUGCGACAAUAUUGAGGGGACCAAGCUCAGUCACUCCUAGAAAGCAGGCAACAAGCUAUACGUGGUCUCUUGAUUCCAGUCCGACCUGCUCUUGCCUGUCUGCUUCGAACCCUGUUCCGGUCCUAUCAAUUUCUCGACGCCGGAGUUGAUCCUUUUCACCUUCUGACUCUUGUCUAAUGAUCCAAGAUGUGGACGUGAAGAACAAAAAAUUUAAGGCUUGUUUGGUUCAUUCAUUUUGAAUAUGGAAUGGGAAUCGGUUUGAUCAAAUCCGAUUAAUUUUGUUUGGUUCGCAUGAAUUGGUUUGAUAUUUCUAUUCCGGACUGGAAUGUGAAUGGCCCAUUAGCCUUCAACUUGAUUCCGAUCUUCUAGGCCGGAUUGAGAUUUCAUUCCGGAAGCCCACUAAGUUCUUGAAGCCCAUGUGACCAUCUCACCCUCCUUCUCUUCACCCCUUUCUCAUCAAAAAAAAAAAAACCCUAUCCUCUCUCAAAACUCUAUCCCUAACCUACAUCAAUAAAACUUUUUAAAAAUAAAUUUGAUAUUUUUUUGAAAAACUUAUUAGAGAAUAGUAUUAUAUUUUUCAUAAAUUUUAAAUAAUAUAAAUUUAUAUUUGAGAGUAAAAUUAGUAUUAUAAUAUUCUAUAAUUUUUUUAAUUUAUACGAACCAAACAAUGAAAUGUGAAUAACUCAUUCCAAUUUUCAAUCCACAAAUAAACCAAACGUCUUGAGGAAGUGGGCCAUUCCAAUUACCAUUCCAAUUUAUUUCCAUUCCAUUAUCUAUUCUAAUUUCACCCUUGAAACAAACAAGCCCUUAUAGUUAUUCGGUUCUCUGGCCUUUUUUUUUUUUUUUUCAUGAUUAAAACUCUUUGAAAUUUUUUGAUAAGGUUUCUACUUAGAGCUUCUCUUCAAUAGCAUACAAAAAUAAUAGGAAGAACAUGUUUCAAACUAGAAAAAUUUCUUAGGAAACUGAUUUUUUACUCCUUUUGGUUUCUGAAAUUCCUUUUAUUCUAAAAGCUCGUUUUAAUUUUUUUUUGUUUUUGUACGGUUAUUCUUCAAGGAGAAGAACCCUCACUCAUAGUGGCUAAUAUGCAAAAGAGGGGUUGGUAGGUUUGGCGCAUAAUCCUGUACUUUGUGUGGAGAUGGGCAAGAAACCGCUGACCAUUUAUUCUUUACAUUUGUUUAUUUUACGUACAUAGUUUCAUGUUCCUUUAAUUACAUUUAGGUUGUGCGGACAGAAGACGCAUUGAGAGAUUUGUGAGAAAUAAUGGUGCAAAGCAGAGACACUCGAAGUAGCAUAAAAGGGCAACUACAUUUUGGCGGCUAUUUAGUGAAUGACUUGGUUGGAAAGAAAUGACGGAUUUUUCGGGACAAAAGCAAGCCAUUGUAGCAUGUGGUUUUAGAAAUUCAAGUAUUUUUAGGACGGUGGAUAGACAUCUUUUGCAAAGUUAAAUUUGACUAUAUAUUUUUGAACUAAAAAGGAAUUUUUACAAGGCCAAACAAAUUCUAUAGCAAUUUAUAUAAUUUGAAAUCCGAGUUUGAUAGAUCCAUUUAUGAUUUAAAACGACAUGAUUGUGAAACUGAUCCAAACAGGGCCUAAACUUAGCAUGAAAAUGGUCCAAAAACUAGGGAUUGAUAGAUCCAUUUAAGAAGCCCAUAAAUGUGUUAUAUUGCCUAGUUUAGUAUAGUUUGAUAAUCACAGCUCAAUUAUAUGUAAUGGUUUUUUACAAACCUUUGUAUGUAGCGUAGGGGCAUUUGGGUCAUUGUAGGCCCUAGUCAUCUGGGCCGGAAACUAGAGAUCAGGCCCAAUCUGGAACCGAUGGCGCGAAGUUUAAAGCAACAUGAUCUUUAACCAAGUUUGCAUCUUAUUCUUCUCCUUUUGUUGAGGAAAAUUUUCGUUUUACUUAUUUCCACCCCACAAACAAAAAAAAAAAAGAAAAAAAAAAUUCUACAGUAUAUGAGGACCAGUAUAUCACACUGCUCAGGGGGAAACAAGAACUAAGAUUAGCUUUUGUCUCACUCUCUCUGUACCAUCGAACUGUUCCAUGCAAUUGCGAAGCAAACAUAAACUAACCACAAUACAUUUAACCUCAUAUAUACAAUAAUAACACGCAAAAUGACCAAAGCACUCACUUGUCACUAUUCACAAUAGGCUUUUGCCUCCACUGGAGACCAUUGGUAAUGGUGUUCUAUCGGCCAGUGAGGUUAUUCUUUGGAGCAGCGAUAAAUACAAACAAAGUUCACACACACACACACACAAAUCCCUUAAAAAGUUGGAUUGUGGGGCACAAUCUAUUUUGGACUCUUAAAACUAAUGAAGCUCUGCUAUGGCCUUAGAUUUGGAAAGGAUGAUUGGUCCAUACACAAAUCAUUCAAGUCCUGUAUCACCCCCUUUUAAACUCACCCAGUUGUGGAUAUAAGGCUCUCUCUUUGUUGGUAUGUGAGAAUUUUGGGGUUUGUGAGCUGGUACAAUGAUUUAGAUAGAGACCCCUUGAUCACAUGUUCCUCUGUGUUAAGUUUUUUUUUUUUUUUUCUCUUUUUUACGUACGGCAAAUUAUUAAGUUAAUUUACUGUGCUCGUUCAGAUGUUUACAGAGAUCAACAAAUUAGUCGCCGUCCCUAGAGCAAGUGGUAAAGAGUUUGGUGGUUGGUACCCGAGGUCUCAAGUUGAAUCCUGAUUGAUUCACAUUUUCAACUAAGUUUAUUUCUAAAUAAAAUAAACGAAGUAGGUAGCGUGCUAUCCAUCUCUAAAAAAAAAAACAAAUUAGGCACACAACACUACCUCAUGCACGAUCUUCAGACUAUUGGAAAAUAGGGUGUGACAUAUUUAUUGGUGUUUGUACAGUCCAAAAGCUUAAACCAUUAUGUUUAUUCCAAUUUUAUAUAUCAAUCAUUAUACGAGAUUAUUGAAUUUUAUAAACUGAACCAAAUAUAGUAAUAUUAUAAAUAUUACAAUUCAGUAUUAUAUUACUGUAUUAAACCAAACGCGCUGAUGCAACAUCAAUAGUAAUCUCAUUUAGAAAUCCAAGACAUCUGGAUAUAUCGAAAUACUCUGUAAUAUUACAUAACUUGAACUAAAUGCACCCUACAGUGAGCCAAUACCGACCUUCCAUAGCGCAAGUGACAAAAAAACUGGUAGUUGGUAUCCGAGAUUCUAAGCUCAAUACCUAGUUGCUUUAUAUUUUCAACUAAAUUUAUUUCUAAGAAAAAGAAUAAAGCAGGUAGCACGCUACUUUUUACUCUAAAGAAAAAAAUGCCAAUCGGCCAUAAUCUAAAAGAAAUUUAUUUGGGCUUUUACUUUUAUUUGCCUGGGCCGCAUAAAUGAGGGCCAAAAUACCCAAAAGUAUUUUGGGCUUAAUUAAAGAUUUAGGCCCUAAUGUAAUUCGUCCCCGAUCCGGCCCAUUUAACUGACCCGGUCCAUAAUCGAAUUCGUAGACCAGGUCCGAGGAGACAUUCCUCACGAGGACGAGCGAAAGUCGGCGUCGGUAACGCCGAGGAUCGUAACCGCUCCACACACCGAGUCCACAUCAUAGAGUAUUAUGUACCUCCGAGGUAGGGGGAGGUUAAAAAAAAGGAGGAGAAAAGCGAGCGAUAGCGAAAUAAGAGAGAGUGUGCUCACAUGGAAGUGGGAGCGAUUUUUGGUGCCUACUAGGGCAAGUAGGUAAGCAGAAGCGCUUCAGGAAGAAGCUGAUAGAGAGCGGAGAUGAUGAAGGAGGCGGGGGAUGGGUUUGUGAGAGCGGAUCAAAUCGAUCUGAGGAGCCUGGAUGAGCAACUAGAGAGGCAUCUGAGUCGAACGAGGACGAUGGAGAAGAAGAAGAGGAGAGAGGAGGAGAGGGGAUUGGGGGGAGGGGAGAGGCGUGGGGAGGAGUGGGAGAUCGAUCCCUCGAAGCUUGUGAUCAAGGGGGUCAUCGCCCGAGGCACCUACGGAACCGUCCAUCGGGGGAUCUACGAUGGCCACGACGUCGCAGGUGAGAUUGGGAAUAAUGUGUUCGUAAUCUCCAGAUUCCAUCAAUUUUUGGUUUUGAAUCGAUUUUCAUAUCAGUGUAUUCUACUAUUUGUUAAUUUAGCCAGGAAAGGUUUCAGCUUUAUGCCCUAAAGUUUAACUUUUGAUCACCAUUAAAGCACAUUGAAAUUGUACUUUUCCUUGAAGCGAAAAGUGGAAAAGAAAUUCGCUGCUAACAUUUUGCUGUACUGUUUUGGAAGUUUUACUUUAGUUUAAUGCUGUUACCCACCAAAUCGAUCUAGUAGGAAGCAACCAAGGAAUAGUAUUAUCACUUUGCGUCGCGUGCAUGGCGGAGGUUAGGUAAUCCGUGUUACUCACAAUGACGAGAGAGAUCACGGAACAAGUACAGGGAUUUACCCCUUUAAAUAGCAGAGGUGGGCAAUUGAACCCAUGAAUGUCCGGGGACUUGAGACCAGCUCUAAUACUAGGUUAUGAGUCAAAUCAAUCUAUUAGGGAGCAUUCCAGUAAUGGUCCUAACAAACACCAGGAUCAAUUAAUCUGAUUGGUUUGUUGUGAGAAGUUGCUUUCAUGUCAUUUUCACUCCCUUUGUGAGCAAGAGUUGAAGCACACUUUUAGAAUAUCUUCCUUUUGGUUUUGUCAAAUUGCAUGUUUUAGAUUGCGGUUUGUAGAUUCGAAGUUGGGCUCGCAUUGCCUUGUCGUUAGCAAUGCAAAGGUCUUCAACUGAUUCCUUUCUCUACCUUAGCUACUGGUGCACUUUGUGUUUCGUUAAAAUAAUGUUUGUUUUGGAACUCUUAUGUGAUCCCAACCAACCAUUGAUUGAUAGAUAAAAUUAAGGAAUUUAAGGGCAUGUUUGGUUGGAAGGAUUUGAGGCUUGGAAUGGGAAUCAGAAUGAUCCAUUCCCACUGUUGAUAUUUAGUUUGAGGGAAUUGACACUCCGAUUCCCAUUUCGAGGGGGAAUUGUAUCCCCCUAAAACGAUUCCCUCCAUGGAGGUGGGAAUCAACUUUGAUUCCAGAUGGGAUUGAGAAAAGAACUUUUUUUCACUAACAAUAAUUUAAAUUCAAAUAUUAAUUUAUAUUUAAUUUUAAAUUAUGAUUUUAUAUUUGAAUUUUGAAUUAUGGAUUCAAAAUUUAUUUUAAUUUCUUAAGUUCAAGUUUAAAUUCUAAUAUAAGUUUGAUACUUGAAUUAGUUCUAAAAUUUAAAUUUUCAUUUUGAACUUGAAUUUGAACUGUAAAUUCAAAUUGUGAGUUUAAAAAUUUGGAUUGAAAUUUUUAUUAUGAAUUUAAAUAGUAAAUUUAAAUUUUAAUUAAAUUUAAUCUUUUUGAAUUUUAAUUUGAACAUGAUUCCGAUUCCGAUUCCGAUUCCGAUUCCUCUUCUAAACCAAACAAAUUAGAGUUUUUAUUGUUACGUUUUCAAUUUAGGUCCAUUCCUAUUCCUCUUCCUAUUCCGAUUUCAAUUCCCAUUUUGAACCAAACAUACCCUAAAAAGUAUUUGAUAAGUUAAAACCUUCAAUAUUUCAAUUCAAACUCAUCUUUUUUCACAGUGAAAUUGCUUGACUGGGGGCAGGAGGGUACCAGGACAGAAGCUGAAAUUGCUAAACUGAGGGAUGAUUUUCUUCUUGAGGUUUCUGUUUGGCAAAAGCUUGAUCACCCCAAUGUAGCAACAGUAAAUUUUCCCCUUGUUUCCUUUUAUGCUAAUAGGUUUGUUUGGUCAUUAAUUUGCUUAUUCGCUCUCUAUCCUUCAACAUGCAUUUCCACCAAUUUUUCAAGCAAUUUGCUUUUGUGGUUGAUAAUAGAUUUUGGGUCAAAUGAAAAAUAAAAUUUUCAAAAUGAAAUUAAUUGUUCACUUUUGUGCGAGAAACACAUUAUUAGAUCUGUGACAUCUGUCUACUGCAGCUAGAAAGAUACAGCGAACAAGCACUAGAUGAAAAUUAAAAUAGAUAUACUAUUUACUAAAGAUACUACCAAUAACGAGUUGUAUAUUAUGUCUAAUUUUGAUGCAAGGACAAGUUGUGGGCUUUCUGAAUUUUCAUAUAGAAUUUAGUUACCUUAUGUCAUUUCAAAUUACACAGUGUGACUUUAUGCCUACACAUGAUUGAAGGGCUGCUCACUUGGAUUUUAAAACCUCUCCUGCAUAAAGUGUCACAUAAUGAAUGAUGUAUAAAGUGCUAUCGUUGCAAAACAUGUUAUAGGGUAUUCUGUUUAAAAUUUCAUAGCUUUUAAUGAUAUGCACUACAAAUAUACAUAAGAAACAAAUAUUGAAAUUGUGACGCUCCUAAAGCAUAAAAUCUAGCUGCUAGCAAAACAUUGUAUUGGACUGCAUCUGUUUACUCUGUUCAAAUAAAUUUAUUUCUGAUUUAUAGUUAACAAAGUCAAUCUCUCGGCUAGUUGAGUUCCUGCUUGAUUUAAUAGGUCUUGAAGCUAAUUUGUACUAUAGAAAAUAUUGAUUGCUUACCAUGGUACAAAGCAAAUGGUGGUGCCAUAUGCGCUUUCAGCAUAACACAGUUUUUCUACUAGUUUCAUCAUGUUUAAGAAAUGCUAGAAGUAUUCUGCUAAAGACUAUAGUUGUUUGUGUCAUCAACAUGACAACGUGUAGUAUUCAACAUCUCAUUUUGAACAAUCUGCAUAUGCUUCUUUCAACCUAAGUAAUUUCUUCCUUUUUUUUUUCAAGCAACAAUCAUGACAUUAACUUCUACAAACAGUUCAUGGGGGCUGCAACAGGUGUGAGAGAUUUAAGCAUACAGACAGAAAAUGGUAAUCUUGUGGUACCAAACAAUGUUUGUUGUCUUGUGGUUGAGUACCUUCCUGGAGGUACGCUGAAAUCAUUUCUUAUAAAAAAUCGGAGAAGAAAGCUUCCGUUCAAAGUUGUUGUCCAACUAGCUCUUGACCUUGCAAGAGGGUGAGUAUCAACCUAUCUGCUUUCAAUGAGUUUCUAGGUUUAUUUCUGGGUCAGCUAUAAAUUUAGUCCCUGAAAUUCGAUUCAGAUCUCAAUUUAUUUCUCAGACUUUCAAUUGAAACAAUUAAGUACCUGAAGUUUGGCCUUGAUUUCCAUUUCGUCCUCACAGGGUGAAAUUGAAAUGAAGGUCAAACUUCAGGGAGACUUAUUUCUUUUACCAAUUUUUUUCCCCUGAAUUUGUUGGCAUCUUCAGUUAGGCGGCUAAGUUCCUAUUUGGCCUGGCUCUCAAACAGCUUUUCUGCUCCAGAAAGAACAUUCCUGAAAUUAGACAUACAAGUAGUCUGCCGCUUUGGCAUAAAGCUAAAACGAGCUUUUGAUAUCCAGAAGCACAAGCUCCAAUUUGAAGCUUCUCGUGCAGCAGGAAGCUGUUAUUGCUUCAUUGAAUGAAUUUUUUUUAUAAAUAAUCCUAUCGAUUUUUAUAAUUGUAAAAUUAAUUUUUUUAAAAAAAUAAUUUUAAAAAUAGACCUCUAAAUGCGGUGAAUGAUUCACCGCAUUCAUAACUCCUCAUUAGGAGUAGAAAAAGAAUAAAAACGGUGAACCAUUCACCGGUAAAAAACGGUGAACCAUUCACCACUUUUACCAUCAUAGAAAUAUAGAAAGAAGUAAGAAAAAGAAAGAAAGCGGUGAAUGAUUCAUCGCUUUUAAAAGCGGUGAACCAUUCACCACUUUUAUAGGACCAUAUUUAUAAAUAAAAAUUUAAUAGGUCUAUUUUAAGAAUAAAAUUUUAGGAGAAGACUAUUGCACUAAAAAACCCUCAUUGAAUAGCUUUACUCCAACAGCAUUCUUGCAGAAGCUGUAGCCAGUCUAAACAGGCCCUUAAACCAUGAAUUAAAUUCUAUACUAGCUUUCAACCUUUCAGGUUGUUCUUUGCUUGAAAUGGACACAUUUUACUUGUUUCCAUAGAUUGAGUUAUCUUCAUUCAAAGAAGACUGUGCACCGUGACGUGAAGACUGAAAAUAUGCUGCUAGACAAAAUGAGGACAGUAAAAAUUACUGAUUUUGGUGUUGCUCGAAUUGAGGCUCAAAACCCAAAUGACAUGACGGGUGAAACUGGAACCCUUGGUUACAUGGCACCUGAGGUACACCAUCAUUAGUAUUAUAGUUAAUCAUGUCUUUUCUCUUUUUUAGUACUUUUGCAACUUAAAUUGAGUAUUCAGGCUGCCCAAUGCUGCAUAUCUGAUUUCAGAGAGAGCGGCCUGUAUGAGCACUAUAUGUAUGAACAAUUUCAUAGGCUACUGUAGCAUGUAAUGAUGUAAUUCAGUACCUUCCUUGUGCUUUUUUUUUUAUUUUAAAAAUUUUGAUGCUUCCCUUCAUCUUAACAUGCUGCAAAUAAAUUGUGACAAGUAUGUAUCAUGUGCCACUAGAAGAUAAUACAGAACAACUAUAAUUGUGGCAAUUAGGUUGGGAACAACUGACAUGAAAAUAUAAGAGAAAAUUGCUUUAGAUGGAUCAAACAUUUCCAGGGUGCACCAUGUGUAGUAUUAAGAUGCAAUAUUUACUGCUAAUCUUUAAAGCGAAUGGUCCUUAAGAGCAAAGUAAUCAAAAUGGAAACAACCAAUUACAAUUUUCCUGGCUAUUGGAUAGUUGGUCGUUCCUAGACAUUCAAGAAACUUGCCUUUAGAUAGAACUAAGUAACCUACAGUAUCAGAUAAUUCAUUUUAUGAGGAACUUCAAAAUACUUGUGUGAUUUUGAUUAGGUCUUUAAACAUUACUGUAAGUAACGGGAAAAAUAGAAAAGAAAACAUAAGACAUAAUUUCUUUGUUUUCUCUGAUCACCAAUAAUUUGACAUCCUCUGGACUAACUACAGGUUCUCAACGGCAAUCCUUACAACCAUAAAUGUGACGUCUAUAGCUUUGGGAUUUGUUUAUGGGAAAUAUACUGUUGUGAUAUGCCAUAUCCCGAUCUGAGCUUCACGGAGAUCACCUCUGCUGUUGUCCGACAGGUAACACCAUUUUUUCUGCUCACCAUUGCCUCGUGAGUCGUGUGUGCUUAGAAGAAUGUUUUCUAGCGAAGACAAAAAGCUGUUAAAAUCACUAAAACCCUGUUAGUUUUUGCUAAUUGAAAUGAGACCAAGCAACUUUAGUUUAGUGCAAAUUAACGAUCUAUUUCUUUUUCCCAUUGUGAUAAGGCCCAUAAAGUUUAAUUUGAGUUGGAAAGGAAAAAACUUAAACUCACCAACUGUACGACAUUAUGGUAGAUUUCUACGCCAAUCCUACUUAACAACAUUAGAUAGUUAAGUUGUUUCCACCAAAUCAAGAUUUUGGGGUAAAUUGUAACAACGAAAAGAAGUUUAUGGGUUCUUCACUAAAUCGAAGUUCAUGUAUCAAAAUGUAACUGGGGAAAGGGUUGGUCAGUCUAUGUAAUAAUUUUAACCCAAAAAUAGAAUGGUCCAAAAUUGCAGAACUUGAGGCCGGAGAUACCGCGGUGUUGCCCGAGCUCUCUAGCUACCGUGAUGAAGAGGUGUUGGGACGCUACCCCGGAGAAGCGGCCCGAGAUGAACGAGGUGGUGACCAUGUUGGAGGCGAUCGACACGUCGAAGGGUGGGGGAAUGAUCCCCCUUGAUCAACCGCAGGGAUGUUUCUCCUGCUUUCGGAGACACCGGGGCCCUUGAUCUAUCUGACAAGAAUAUCUACAACUAAUUAGUAUUCCUAAGAACACAAUAAUUGUUAGCCUAUUGUGUUCUUGGUGAACUUGGUUAGUAGACCUAACAUAGUAGAAGUUUAUGAUGUAAAGAUUUUGCUUCUCUCUCUCUCUCUCUCUCUUCCAACUUUUUGUGUAUGAAGUUUCAGGCUAGUCAUUUUAAGUGACUGGCUUUUGAGUAGUGCUAUGGAUAAUUCUACAUUAAAUUUGUUUUGUUUGGUGUUCUUUUAUUAUUCUCUAAGACAGUAAAUAUGAGUAGGAUGGGAUGAUAAUUGGGAAGCUGGUGCCAACAAUUGAAUUGUCAAUUGUAUUAUGCUUGAAAGAGAUUUAUGGUAUGGAUAAAUUAUUGGUUGGACAAUCACUACCUUUUUGUUUUUUUUUAAUAAUUUAAAGGAAAUUAUUCAUUGACUUGACCACUUCAAAUCCAACACAUUAUUCUGAAUAUAAAAUGCUCUUAUAUUUUCGAAUUCUUCUUUACUAGCCCUUCAUUUAAAUUUCUUUUGAUCUCCAAUCAAAGUUCUAGGAAUCUCUUUAAUCCCAUGUUUGGCAUUUUUGGUCUCGUCUUUUUUGCCAAAAGAAAUAAAUAAGAGAUUAGCAUUUGUUUCUCCAAGCUUGGUUUUUAAUUAAAAAAAAUUUUAAAAAAAUUAUUGCUCAGUUACAAAUAUAUGAACCUUCAAUGAAGUGGACAAGGCCAUCAAAUUAAAGAAAAUGAAAAAUCCUAGCCAAAUCUUUCUUGUGACGAUCUUUAAAAAUUAGGAGCGAAUUAAUAAAAAGCUUUAGAUUACUCAACACAAAAAGGAAAUAUCUAAAUAUCCUUCGUUAUGGUUGUAACUAAAUCAAUUAAUAAUUUACUGCUAAUGAUUAGUUCUCCUCUUAGACUUCUUUAGUCUCCUAAUUUGUACAUUCACAAAAAGGAAGAAACUUAAAACAUCUCAUAAUCUCACCAUAUCCCCCAAUAAAUUAUGAAGAGACCAUUAAGCUUUUAAUAAGAACAAGUAGACCCUCUACUUAGAUCCAAACUUAAAGAAUCCAGCUGUAAGAUUCUUUACUCAUCGGCGCCAAGUACCUUCCUGUGUCCAAAUUAACUAAACAUUUCAAUAACCAAUACAAGAAGCUGAGUGGAAAGCCCCAGCCCAGGUUCCCAGUUUUUCAGCUGUUUGGUUUGGUGAAUCUUACUCUCAAAUCAAAUCACGAAAUUUGGUUGUUGAAACCGGACUCGAAUAGUCGUAACUAAAUGAGCCAAAAAUAUGCAAGCUAAGCUAAACUCUUAAGCUGACUCAGUUACGUAACUGCGAUUGAUUGAGCUAAAGCUAGCUCAUUUGAUUUCGAGUCGAACUCAUGAAUCACUCACUUCACUGCGUAGCCUAAGGUACGAGGCCGACGACGACUACUACUACUACUAAGGAUUUUAUCCGUAUGAAAUGGUGAUAGCAUUAGUGUUUUUUUUUUCUCUCUUAUAAUUAUUGUCUAUUAUACUGUAAUAUUUUUCUAGUAUUUUUGAGCAUUAGUUCCGUAAGCAAGGUAGGUUACUUGUAAACUUAGCUCAUUAAUUAAACAAUUCAUUGAGAUAGAUUGCUAAGCCAAAUUUUGGGCCAAACAUGAGUUAUAAUAGGUUUGGACGCACAGAAUUUACACAUUGAAUUCAGCCGGUUUGAGAAAGUCGAGCUUUCACAUAUUCGAAUGGAUGCUGAAAGUCGGCAAAAUAAAUCAAACUCGAAACAUUCUAUUCUCGUAUUUGGUUCGACUUUGCGCGGACCCAAAGCAAAGUCGAUCUCGACCGAAUCGUGAAUUACAUGGACUCGAUCUACGGAUAUCAAAACACCCUCUUCGUCCACAAACAAUGACCUCUUUUUUUUUAGAAAGAGAAAGAAAGCUAGCGAGCUAUCUAUUUUGUUUAUUUGAUCUUAAAAAUAAACAUAAUUAAAAUUUAAAUUUAAAAUUUUAGAUAUUAAUUAUUAAAAUUUCAGUGAACUGAACUAUAGAUACGGUGGAUACCAUGAGCUCAAUUUGGGGCCCUACACUCAAAAGUGUGGGAGGAUCGACGACGCGUUCAAAUUCAAUGGCCCAACAGAAAAGUCUCCCCGAUCGCUUUGACCGCCUCCACGUUCAAUCCAGCAUCAUCAAAUCACCACCGCACGAAUCUCAACCCUCCAUUGCUACUAUUUUUAUUUUAAUUUUUAAUUUUUAGUUUUUGGUAGAAAUGUAUAAAGACCCCUCAACUAUAGGCCGUUAUGAAAAACGAACCUCAACUUUAUUCUUGUUUUCUGAAUACUUCUUUAAUUUUCAAAUAUUUUGAUUUUAUAUUUUUAUAACAAAUAAAAAAAAUUAAAAAAAAAAUUAAGUCUUUACUUGGGAUUGCAGGAGCAAUGCACUAUAUUUUAAAACUAAUCAUAUUUUAUAUAAAUCAUCAUAAUUAUUAUGUUACAAUAUUAUAUAUUUUUGUUGCUCGAUUAGAAACUUUUUUUGUUCUAUCAAAAACUACAAAAAAUAUUUUUUUGGCCAACAAUAUUAGAUAGCCCUUUAUACAAUAUGAAACUUAAACCGAUUAGCUAUUGCAAGUUAAUCGAUCUAACUUUAUUCACUACAUAAAAUAGUUUACACUAUUAAAAUUAAUAAAAUUACCAACUAAAUUAGAGAAAUUUCAAAUUUCAUUUGACUAACAUUACUUAAUUUUUAAAAAAUCAAAAAUUUGAAAAGGUUUAAUUUAAAAAACUAAACUUGAGAAGGUUUCAAUUUCAGAAUCAUCUAUAAUUGAGGGGGCUCCAUACAUUUUUACCUUCUGUGGAUCCUUUAAAACGAAACAACCCGACCGUCGCCACCGACUCCCUCAAAAUCCACGUUACUACCGCACGCGUCUUCGUUCGACCCAACCCCAUAAAUAAAAAAAGAAAGGCGAAAACUCCCCAACCCCAUUCUCCUCCUCCUCCUCCUCCUCCUCCUCCUCCUCCUCCUCCUCUCCCUCUUCGUCUCCCUCACCACGAAACCCUAACGCCAAUUUCUCCCUAACCCUUGCCCCCCAAAAGCCAUCGCCGGUCCACCUGCGUCGCCAUGGGCCACGCGCUCCGGGGGGAGCAGCUGAAGCAGCUACGCGACAUCUUCGGGCGGUUCGACAUGGACGCGGACGGGAGCCUGACGCAGCUGGAGCUCGCGGCGCUGCUCCGGUCGCUGGGGCUGAAGCCCAGCGGGGACGCGAUCCACGCGCUCCUCUCCGGGAUGGACGCGAACGGCAACGGCGCGGUCGAGUUCGAGGAGCUCGCCGCGGCGAUCGCGCCGCUGAUGACGCAGCGGGCCCUCGUGGACCAGGCGCAGCUCCUCGAGGUGUUCCGCGCCUUCGACCGCGACGGGAACGGCUACAUCUCCGCCGCCGAGCUCGCCCGGUCCAUGGCGCGGAUGGGCCAGCCCCUCACCUUCGUCGAGCUCACGCAGAUGAUGCGCGAGGCCGACGCCGACGGCGACGGGGUCAUCAACUUCACCGAGUUCGCCGCCGUCAUGGCCAGGUCCGCUCUCGACUUCCUCGGCCUCCCCGUCUCCUAGGGUUUCCUCCUUCCUUGCUUUUUUAGGGUUUCCUCUUCUUCUUCUUCGUCGUCUUCGUCGUCGUCUUCGUUUCUAGGGUUCGUAUUGGACCGGAGCUCAGCUGGUUGAGAUAUCUUGAACCGGGUUCACGAAAUCAUGGAUCUCGCAAAUUAGAGAGUUUCAUUUGUAAAUAUAUUGAUAUGUAUCAUAAAUCAUAAUGCUGAUGAUGUAGACAAGGCCAAAAUGUAUGGACACCACCUCAACUAUUCGCCAUUUUGAAAUCGCCCUCUCAAUCUUAAUUUUUUUUUUUAAAAAAAAUUUCUUUGAUUAUUAUUCUCUCAACUUUAAAUUAGUUAGCAAUUGAUUUUUUAAGAAAUAAAAUAAAUGAAAAAAAGUUAGAAUUUAAGAUGGUGCAAACCACAAAAAAAAAAAGAAAAAAAGAAAAAACCAGUAAAGUUGAUGGCCCUAUUUCAAAAUCGACUAUAGUUGAGGGGUCUCUGUACAUAUUCAGCUAAUGAUGCUUCUGAUGAUUAUGAUGAUUGGUUAAUAAGAGUUUGGGAGCUUCUAACGGGCUCUAUUUUCUCAGAAUGAUGGAUAAAGAGAUAAAAAGAAAAAAUAUAUUUAUGAAAGUGUAAUUAUUAUUCUGUUUUUUUGUACCAUUUGAUUCUGGACAUGUUUUUUGUUUCUUUCUUAUGCUCUUGCCAUUGUUUGUUGAGAGAUUUUGAUUCUUUAUGGUAGAGCACUUGAUAAGAGAUUUCGCCCUUCUCCCUAAUUUUUCUCUCCAAUUCUCGCGGGUAAAUUGCACUGUUACUUCCUAACUUUUGGCCAAUUUUUUUUUUAUCUUCCAAACUUAUAAAAUAGAUAUCUAAAUUUUAAAUUCUAAAAUUUUAUUCAUGUUAUUAUUUUCAUUAGUUUUCGAUUAUCGGAGUUUAAAAAAUGACGGAAAGGAUAAUAUAAAUGAAAUAUUAGAGCGUAGGAUGUUAGGUAAUUAUUUUAGGAAUUUGAAAGAUAAAAUAAAAUUUCACCAAAAAUUCGGAGGUAAUAGUGUAAUUUAUUCCAAUUCUGGCUGUAACCUUGUUUAUCUUUGGGUAAACUUGAAUUUACUCCUUAUGAUUUAGUUUAUUUUUAUUUUAUUAUUUGGUGGUUAAAACAAUUACACUUACUCAUCUUGUCAUUUUUUUUAAUACAAAAAAUUUAUUAGCAAAUAAGAUAGUAAAAUAAUUUUUUUUUAUAACCUCAUAAUAGGUUGCUGAAUUAUAAAGCAAAUCUAAACUAAAUCAUAUAAAAAAUAAGUAUAACUUUUAAAAUCUUGAAGUGACAAAGUACCAGGAAAAAAAAAAAAAAAAAAUAACCACUUGGGAGCAAAUUNUUUUUCACUGUCUUUUGUCCCUUCUUAUUGAUUAUGACUUGGGACAUCGUCUUCGCUCUAAAAAUGGAGAUGCAUCCUAAAAUAGAUUAUAUUAUAAUAACUAAACUGUUAUUUAUAUCGUACAGUAUAGCAAACCAUUUAACGAAGGAAUCUGCUAUAUUUAAUUAAUUUUUAUAUGAUCUUUUAAAAAGUAGAUAAGCUAAUACCACUUUAUGCACAAACCAAUUGGCAAUUUUACUAAUUUAUUUAUUAUUUAAUUACUUAAAAUUAUUAAAAUAUGAGGGAUGAGACAUCAUCAAUCCAAGAUGUCAUCGUUUGAUCGGACUUGUAGUGUGAUCUACUUGAGAGCUCCGUUGUAGAGAAUAACUUCCCUGAUCUGCCGUACCUAAUUCGAUGUUGAUGGGUGAGCUUUUCGAUUUCAUUAGCCAGCUCAUCGGAUCGUUAGACAGUUUAUUUCUAUUUCUAUAAUUAAAGGCAGCUUCGUCACAAAUAGGUAAAAAAAAAAAAAAAACUGCAGUGCUGUUUUGGCCCUACAUAAUGUCGGCUCUAUGUAGCUUCGAAUAAGACGUGUUUGAUAUGAUAUAAUUCUAAAUCAUAUCAGCUAGAAAAAAGUAACUUUAAACAAAAAAUAUAUUUAUAUCCCUAAUAAUUAUUUUAUAUAUAUAUAUAUAUAUAUAUAUAUAUAUAUAUAUAUAUAUAUAUAUUUACAUAUUUGGUAUAAUCUCACCACUUCCUAUAUGAGAUAAUAAAUCUCUCAACUGAAUGCAUCCAAAUAAAUCAACACGAUAAGAGUAGAGAAAACCAUCCACCAGCACAUCCAACUCCAUGAAACUUUAUUUAUG
rnacentral:lncRNA from 1 species